rnacentral:rRNA from 1 species
GAUCCUGGCUCAGGAUGAACGCUGGCGGCGUGCCUAAUACAUGCAAGUAGAACGCUGAAGGAAGGAGCUUGCUCUUUCCGGAUGAGUUGCGAACGGGUGAGUAACGCGUAGGUAACCUGCCUGGUAGCGGGGGAUAAACUAGUUGGAAACGAUAGCUAAUACCGCAUAACAGUAGAUGUUGCAUGACAUUUACUUGAAAGGUGCAAAUUGCACCACUACCAGAUGGACCUGCGUUGUA